UACGGAGGGAGCUAGCGUUAUUCGGAAUUACUGGGCGUAAAGCGCACGUAGGCGGCUUUGUAAGUAAGAGGUGAAAGCCUGGAGCUCAACUCCAGAAUUGCCUUUUAGACUGCAUCGCUUGAAUCAUGGAGAGGUGAGUGGAAUUCCGAGUGUAGAGGUGAAAUUCGUAGAUAUUCGGAAGAACACCAGUGGCGAAGGCGACUUACUGGACACAUAUUGACGCUGAGGUGCGAAAGCGUGGGGAGCAAACAGG
rnacentral:rRNA from 1 species